CUCUCCCGUAUAUACUCCCGGAUCGACCCCUCUCCGUUUUUCCAAAAUCGCAAACCGUAGACCACCCGAGAGCUCGUUCCGAUCUCGCCGGAGUUCGUCGCUGCGAACUUGAAGUCGAGGAUCAUGGAAACGACCAGACAACGACACCGGAGUUUCGCCGGACUUCAUCGUUCCCAGCCGGAGUUAGGCGCCGUUCGGAAGUAGGAGAGCAGCUGACGAGGACGGAGAAGGAGAUCUCUCGUCAAGCCACACCUCGCCGUCACCUUCGUCAAGCCGGGAGACCACCACACCAUCUCCAUCCACGCCCGGCCGCCGCGUCCGUUCUCAUCCACCACCGGUGAAACAUCAGUGAUCAUGGGAGAAGCAGAAUUACAAUCAGUCUGAUUUUCAGGCCUAGGCUUCUAAGAAUUUACAUCUGACUAUCAGAACUCGUGUGCUGUUGCCCAACACCAUGUGAUGCCACCGUUGACCACACCAUGCGUAGCCGGCAGCUAGCCAUCCUGAUCUCCUUGCUGUAAUAGUGCUACUCAACUUCUUGUGUUAUCAUUGUGUUAUGCCUUGUAACACAUAAAUGUUAAACUCAUGAAUGUAAGAAAAUAUUGUGCUUAAAUGGGGAGGAAUACUUACAUAUGUAAAUGAUUAUUUUUAUCACAUUUCAUAAUGCCGCCGGGGCAGU